CCGGGAGACCGAAGGCGGCGGGAACGCUGUCUCCGGCACCGUCCUCCGGCCGCGCACGCGCGGUUCCCCCGCGCCCGACUGCGCCGCCUGGUGCCGCGAUGGAGGAACGGGCGAGUCUGGAGCCUAAAGGAUGCGUGAAGAUUGUACCUGUCGGGAGAAGCAAUCUGCCAUGUGCCCUUAGUACCCCUGCCUCGUCUUGUUGGGUACCCCAACAAUGCAAGGCCCUGACUGCUCUUUACCUGAGUCAUUUUUCGGGGUUACGUUGCAUCUCACCAACCUUGCAAGAUGAAGUAAUGUCUUCCUCCAGACAGAGAGCAAGCUUGCUUCUGUUUGCUACGAAAGCACUGAAUCCUGUGGGAGAAGGAAUGUGAUGACUCUGGCGCAGCAAGCCCGAGGUCCCCAGCUGAAAGGCAGUAUGGCUGUGGCGGCUAGUCACAGAGGGCCCAAAGCAGAAAUAAGUGGUGUCAGCAGUGAAGAGAGAGCUUCGGGCAGAACUUUGGAAGAUCAUUUCUUGAGCCUGAGCAGGCAGCUGCUUGGAACGUCAAUGGAAAAGACUAGCUUUACUGACAUUGGGCGGCUCUGCCCUCUGCCUUUUUUCACUCCUCUCCUCUCCUCCAGCCUCAGCUGACUGAAGAAAAAAGCUGGGUAUGCUAAGACCUUUGAGAGGGAAAGGGCUCAAACUUUUAUUGCUCUGUUGGAUUCUACUCCCCCCAUUUAGCCUGACCUGAUCUUUGGUGUCACUGCAAUAAUUACAAGGAGUAAUAGAUGAGCCAAAAAGCAACCGCACCCUGAGACCUGUUGGCCCAUUUUACCUCACACACACAUAACCUGAAGGUGCACAGGUCACUCCUGUUUAGGAUUUAUUGUUCAACUUGAUUUAAAUCACUAUUACAUUAGAUUGGGCAGUGUCACUAAGUGCAGCCUCAGUUGUCAUCAUUCUGUCUCUUCUGGUCCUCAAGGGAAGCAAGGAGGCUGGUCAGUGACCCUCCAUGCUGGAGCAGUUGCUCUGCUUUGAACCUGGGUGAGACUGCUGACUGACCUCGCCGGCCUGGUUCUGUUCUCAGUUCUGCCACUCAGGACCCUCCGCACUGCGUAGGACUCGCCUCACCUGGGUCUCCUGACCACCACAUCGACUGUAGCAGGUCCUCCGCCCAGUUCCAAUUUUAGCCUCAGCUAAAGCUUCCCAUCGUGGGGACUGUCCCUUCUGUUCUUCUCACGAGAGCUUUCAGCUCACUGAUCCAGCUGCCUGUUCCAAACGUGGUAAGUGUCCUUAAGGAGAAUUGUAUUCAUCUGGGAGCAAGUGAGCAGCAAGAGCAACGUGUGACAACUCUGUUUCCUGAUCUGAAUAUUGAAUGAAGGGCACUUAGGAAAUCUGAGAUUCCACCUUCUGAUACCCCCAGUAUCUUCAGAAACAGGUUUUCUCCUCUGGUCACUUUAAUACUGUUUUCUGUCAACUCAGAACUCAAGUUCUUUAUCGACAGAAAUUGCUGCCAAAGCCAGAUUUUCUUAAUCAGAGCAAUGGCUGUAAAACCCCAUUCCUUGCCACUUUUGCCCAUCUUCUCUCUACUGUAAAUUCCUAUAGCUAAGCCUUCUGGAACCCCACCCGUCACAAACAGAUUUUCACCUUUAAAAAUACCUGAACUGCUUUACCUUAACCCAAGCAUGGCUUUCCCAGCAAGUCCUCAUUCACAGCCUCUCCAAAAUCUUGCUGCUUGUUGCUGAGAUUAACUAACACGUGUUAUUUUGUCGCCUACUAGAUGUCUAGUAAAUGCUUGUCCCCUUGGCUGCCACCCACUCAUGGGCCUGUGAAAAUGAACUUCCUUACUUUCCUCUCUAGUGAGGUAAAGUUCAUACUCACUUUGGGUAUUGUUCAUACCCACUUCAACAACUCUAAAGUUUAGGCCAGUGUAAAACUUACAAGCUUUCUGGCUCCUUUUCUAUACUCACCAUAGAUGUCAUUUCCAGUUGAAUCAUCUUCAAGUCACCUGUCUUACCUUCCUAUAGUUUCAAAACACAUAAAGUUAUCCUAAAAUGUGAGCCAGAUACUCAAAUGUUAUCAGAUCUUGAACUAAUUUUACAAUAUCUGGUGUUUCUCUGUAUUCCCAAUGACCACUCUGCUCCUGGUAUUGUGAGGUGGAAAGCAAGUAAAUUACAUAACGUGCUUAAAGCGGGUACUUAAGACCCAAUUUCACUAAUUUUAAGAACCACCAAAGUGUCUGAGGAAAGAUCAAAGGUACAAAAAGCAGUUCUACUAGGAUAAAGAAGGAUCUGAAUGUUACCAACUUCUGGUUCAUAGCAACAAUGAUGAAAUAGAUUUUAAUUCCUUGGUUUAAGCUUCCAAAACAACUCUCUGAAGAAAACAAUUCCUAGAAAUUGUCAAGGAGCUUUCUCACUAUUUCCUUCUGAUCAUUGUGUUACAUGUUUAAAACAAUUAUAGAGAUGUUUAAAACAACAUCUUCAUCAGUCUAAUAAACAAACUUUGUGUUUUAACACUGAAAGUUAUUCAAUGUUCACUUGAUAUUUGCGUACCAGAUGCUGGGAAUUCACACAUAAAGACAUCUCCUAUUGUUAAAAUACCCUCAUAAUUUAUUUGAUGAGACAAAGUGAGAAAAGUAAAAUGUCCA